rnacentral:lncRNA from 1 species
AUAACUAAUAAUCUAAUUAAUGAUACCACUAAAGGAUUUAUACUGCUUAGCAGACAGCAAAACUGCUGUUACACUGUUCUGUGAGCUUUAAUUUCUUUGGCCCUCCAUUAUAGUAGAAAAUACCCAAAGAUAUUGGGGGACUAAAAAUCUGACUAGUGGCUUACCAAACACUAGACAGGGUUGAAUGGGAUUAAUGAUGGGUAUCGUGGACCAUGCCUUAACAGUGAAGGAUGUUCUAUUCGUCUGGGCCUUUAGAAGAUGGAAGAGAAGAAACGGAGCAUUGGAUUUUGCUCCAUUUACUGUUAUGUAGUUUGGAUAAAGAGAAAUAGGAGAGUUUUUGAAGGAAACGAACUUGGUUUUGUACAUUUGAAGAGUAGCAAUCUUUGAUUUCUUUUUGUGUUGACCGCAUUCUGGUUCUUCUGUUCUUCGAGGAAAGGAAUGAAGGUUUAUGCUUUACUGAUUUUACAGG